rnacentral:miRNA from 1 species
GUUUCCCGCAAGCACUUCACG